ensembl:lncRNA PABPC5-AS1 PABPC5 antisense RNA 1
CAGGCAGGCUGCAGGCAGCGGAUAGGACACAGAGACAGACAGACAGACACACGCGCGGGGGAUCGAAGACCGCCCAGAUACCCAAGAUGCCCACUGGAUAGAGUGAUUAACCAUCCCUGUUAAUGUGGAACAGAGAGGUUUCCUGGGAUACUGGACUUUCAGUGGUAAAAGUUGGAAAGUCUAAGCUGGCUGGCAAAAUGUAAUAAUGUGAAAGAAGAAAACUCUAGGAAGAAACUUCAACAGUAAAAUGAAAUAAAAUACUAAGAGGAUUUUCAGGAAACGCUGUUUGGAAGGCAGAAGGGAGACGGGACAAAUAGCAAGAUUUUAAAGUGAAGAGGCCGGCCCAAUAUAGGCCCUCGGGAGCUGGAAAGGAAGGCCACCUAGUGGCGUUUGAGCGAAGGUCAGUUAUAUCUACUCAGUCAAUAA